CUCGCAUCGAAUCUCGCCAAGUUUUACUAUGUAUAUCCUCACCAAGUUUCAUUCGGUCCUUAGCUAGUUAUGUUGCAGACUUUCAACUUGCAGUUUGCUUUUGCCAGUAUGUUCUUCAAUUUAGAUCAUGGAGGUAAACAUUAGCUGCACAACAGACAUAAUCUAGUUAAUUAUAAGUUUACUAAUUAUAGCAAAGUUUGAGAAAGAAUUUGACAAUCCGCAUGUAUGAUGUAUGCAUAUACUUCAAGGCACGAAGCCCUCAUAAAGGUAAAACUGGUGAUGUUCCC
rnacentral:lncRNA from 1 species